rnacentral:lncRNA from 1 species
GUCUUUAUCAAGAAAAAACUGAACAAUCGAACUUCGAACUUAAAAUUUGCGUUACCGAUACAAGCGUUAUUUUUGGAACGUUUACAGCCAAUAUGUAGAGAUGGCGCUUAUACGAUAGAAAAUCUUUUUAAAAACAUUCCAAAAAUAACGCUUGUAUCGGUAACGCAAAUUUUAAGUUCGAAGUUCGAUUUGUUCAGUUUUUUCUUGAUAAAGACCAUUGAAUAUGGUCGAAAACGUUUGAAUUUAUCUAUUAAAUUACGGCUGCAUAUGUAAAGGUUGGUUUGAGGGUAUUUAGUUAAUAAAUGCAGUCUCUGACAAGUUAUUAAUUAAAGUACGUACAACAUAUACACAUAAUUCAUUUGUCAUUCAGUUUUCAUUCAUCUACAAAAUCAGCCAUUAUAUUUGGAAGUACAAGCAGUGGAAAUGUCAAUCAAACUUGCUUGGUAGCUGCUUCCUGCACACGCAUGUAGAAUUGUCAUCUAGUGGUCGCUGCAUGCUAAAUGCAGUUACUCCAAACGCACACAUUUGCUUGAACCAGUUUGUUCGCACUUCUUGGAAGUGCAUUCACGCUCGUGGUUGCUGGACGCUGCCAUGUAGGACGUACCCUAAGAAGUUUCUUUAUUGCCUUGCGGUUUAGUCAAAAAGUUUUGACUAAAACUUCUGUAUAUGCACUUAUUGAAAUUUUAAAAGUACAUUUUUAUUCUUAACCAAUAUGUGGCUGAUAGCAUUACCAUUGAUUGUCAUUGCCUCGACUAGUGUUUUAAUGUUAAAACAUGAAUUGUUUUAAUUAUUAUUUGUUUGCAGUAUAAUAGCUUAAAUUUAAUGGUCUAUCUUCAAUUAAUAAACAAAAAGAUGAAACCAAUCUCCAGCAAGAUUUGACAAGAAAGUAAAUUUUCAACUGUUUAUUAAUGUAUACCCAGUUUGGAGUAGUUUAAUUUCUUCAAUUAUAUGAGGGGUGUUCAAAAAGUAUCAGACCUUUAUUUUUCCCGCAUAAACCAAUGACAUGCCAAAGGCCUCCUUCGGGGGAGAUGUGGAGGGGACAGUCAUGCGCAGUCCUGAAUUUUUUCCCGCCUGCAGGAAGUGUCAGUCGCUGGCAGUCUGCCUAUGAGUGAAGACAUGUAGUGAGUGCUUGUCGGAUUCCACUAAGUUGUAAAAUGACUGAACAAUGUGCUCAGCGAUAUUGCAUAAAAUUUUGCCAAAAGCUUGGUGAUAUCCAAGCAAAAACCAUUUGCAAGAUUCAACAGGCUUUCUUGAACGAUGCUGAGCAACACAUGGAAAAAGGAAUGGUACAUCUGCUUCAAAGAUGGCCGCACAUCAGUGGACAGCGAACCGCGUUCAGGCAGACCCCCAACAAGCCGAAAUGACACUGUCAUUGAGCAAGUGCAGACUUUGGUCAUGGUGGACUGUCUUAUCACAGUCAGAGAACAGUCAUGUAAACGAGACAGGAGUAAGCGUUGGAUCAGUACAUUUAAUUUCGACCGAGUAUUUGGGUAUGAAGAGUGUCCGCGAAAUUCUGCACAUCUGAUUCAGACUUUCAUUGCCAAACACAACAUUUCUGUGGUUCGUCACGCUCUGUACUCUCCCGACAUGGCUUUGUGUGACUUUUGGCUAUUUCCCAAGCUGAAAAUGCCACUAAAAGGAACCCGAUUUGAGUCAAGAGAAGACGUCGUGUGGAAUGCGAUGGACUGGCUGAUGGUCAUUCCAAAAGAUGUGUUUCAGCAGUGUUUCCAGCAAUGGUAGGAGCGCUGGGAGAAGUGUAUACAUUACCAAGGAGACUAUUUUGAAGGGGAUUAGGGUUUUGUACCUCAAAAUGAAUAAAUGUAUUUUUGCCGACCAAAGGUUCAAUACUUUUUGAACACCCCUUGUAUGCUAGGUGGUUAGACCAUGAUGCAAAAAUUAGCAUGCAGACAACACUGGAUGAAUUUAUCAAUAAUAAUUAUAAAUCUCUCAUCUUCCAUGUCUUCAAUUGCUUUAUUUAGUUGACCAGAAAGUUUUAAAAUUGUUUCUUAAAACCCAAGAAAUAUUUUUAUAUUUUGUAAACAGUUUUAUAUUAUUCAGUGGUGUAUUUGCCAUUGUUUUCAACUAUCUUUUGCUAUUAUUAUUCUAAUUUAUGAAUCUAACUGUAGCAUAAAUCUGAAUCCUUUUCAAUAAAGAAAUCUUUAAUGUGAUUUUUUUUAUGUCAUUGUUCUGGAAAAGUUUUUUUUCUUGGAUAGUUUUGUAGAUACUGAAAUACAUGAAAAUCAGUGGGAGCAAGACCAGGUGAAUGUGGUGGAUGUUCCAUUGUUUUCCAUUUUGAUUUUUGUUGUUUGGCAGCCAUCAGGCCCAUCAAAAUUGAUUUUUUUUUUAUCUGACUAUACUUCAUUUUUCCACUGUUCUUUUCAGAUCAUGUGAUUCUGGUCCAAGUCAGUCUGGCAGCCUUAUUUUCUCCUUUGUAAGCUUUGGGUUUUGACUUCAUUUUGGCAUAUUUAAGAUGAUUGGCAGCAAGAACUAUUUCAAACUGUCUUUAAGCUUACUCCAUGUGCGGACUUUUUUAUGAGAAGUUUUUGUGGCCUUGCAGGUUAUAGAUCUUAUUGACUCACCAGCUUCAGUUAAACAUUUACUUUUGGCAUUUGAAAAGGUAGCAACAAUAAAUAUUGGUAGUUACAAGACUUGGUUUGAUAGAUAUCCAGUUAACAAAUUUAAAAAGUAAGUUAAAAAUAUGUACAUGAAUUAAAGUUUUGAGUGUUCUUAUCAUUACUCAACAGUAAAAAAAGAAUUUUCUUAUGAGUAAUUAGCUGCUAAUUUAUUUAGAAUUAUAACUGUUAUUAUUUAUUUCUUUCACACUUGUAUACUAACAUUCACAGUAAUAGCUUUUGUAACUUUGAGUUAUUCACAAAAUGUUUGAUGUGCUUAUCUUUAUUGAAUACACUGUAUGUAACACAUUGUUACCAGCCAGUUUCUAAAACUAUAUAACAAUGUCCCUGGCAUAAAAUAUUUUUUUAAAUACACUGUAUUUUGUUUGUUUAUUUUAUAAUAAGAAAAGAACAUUUAAUAACUGAGUGAAAAUAGAAUGUUAAUUUUAAUGCACAUGGGAAUUGAAGAGGUUAAUUAAUUAAUUUAAAUGAAUUUUAAGAAACAGCAUUUUAAUUAGUCAAACAGCACUUUAUAUUUCAAGGCUUGUGGGAUUUUUUUUAAACAAAAUUAUAAAUAUUGUUGAAUGUUGUGAUUGAGUUCAUAAGUUUUGAGCACUUCAGUUGUAAAGGGAUGGUAAAUCUGGACUAGAACACAACAGUCAAGAUCUUGAUUCCUAUAUCAUUGGACCAGAACAAAUCACAACGUAUUAAUCAAAAUGGAAGACACUGAAUUGCAUUAAGUAUAAAAACUGUAAUUAUUUCAAAUAUUUUAGCUGUAAUUCAUAAAUAUGGCCAUUAAAUGUGUUUGAUAAUUAGGAAAUAUACAAAUAAGGAAUGUUUUUCAAUUUUUAUCACUUCUCCCAUUAUAAGGUAAUAAAUUUUAAAAAUAAACGCUUUUGGUUUAAUCAAGGAAAUUUUGUAAAUUAUGAAAUGCUUAAUUAAAAAUAGCUAAAUAGAUUAGUAAACAUGUGGACUUUUUAUUCAUCCACCGGUUGUGUACACAAGGGCAUUCAUUAUUCUUGACAUUAAACAUCUAGCAUCUCUAGAAGACAAAACUUGUUAUAAGACAACACUUUGUUUAAAACUGAAAUUUUUGUCAUAUAAUUAUUAAUGUAUAUGUGUUGCCCGAAUAUUUAGUGAUAUUUUUAAUGUACAGUGUGUGAUUGGUUAACGAACAGUUA